rnacentral:rRNA from 1 species
AGCAGCCGCGGUAAUUCCAGCUCCAAUAGCGUAUAUUAAAGUUGUUGCAGUUAAAAAGCUCGUAGUUGAAUUUCGGGACCAAUAUGUCGGUCGUGCCUCGGUACGUACUGGUGUCAUUGGUUUCUCCCUUCUGAGGAUCCUUGAUGUCAUUAAUUUGGUGUCUUGGGGAAUCAGGACUGUUACCUUGAAAAAUUAGAGUGUUUAAAGCAGGCACGCGCUUGAAUACAUUAGCAUGGAAUAAUGAAAUAGGACGUUCGAUUCUAUUUUGUUGGUUUCUAGGAUCGACGUAAUGAUUAAUAGGGGUAGUUGGGGGC